GUCAAGUCAUCAUGGCCCUUACGCCCAGGGCUACACACGUGCUACAAUGGCGCAUACAGAGUGUUGCGAGCUGGUAACAGUAAGCCAAUCACAAAAAGUGCGUCUCAGUUCGGAUUGAGGUCUGCAACUCGACCUCAUGAAGCUGGAAUCGCUAGUAAUCGCGCAUCAGCAAUGGCGCGGUGAAUACGUUCCCGGACCUU
rnacentral:rRNA from 1 species